UCUCCAAAAAAUCCUAAACUAAAACCCUGGUGCUAUUAUAUAUGUUCUCAACCCCAAAGCUUACAAAUCUAUUUUAAGUCCAAGCUUAUAAACGAAAUAAAAUAAAAUCUGGACAAGAUAAGAUAAGAUUGGAUGAAAUAAAAUAUGGACGAAAUAAAAUCUAGAUGGAAUAAAAUCUGGAUAAGAUAAGAUUUGAUAAAAUAAAAUUGUCUGCUCUCUUCUAGUCCAAGUCCAAUUCUGGAUUCAAGCCUAAUUGCUUAUAAUUCUCCUGAAAUUAAAUUAAAAAUACAAAAUUAGUCAAGUAGGCCCAAAUGAUAAAACUGCAUAAUUAAUUUGACAAUUAAGGCUAAUCAGUAAUUAAAAUGGUAACAAAAAGGGUUAAGAAAUAGGAGAAAAUAAUGACACAUCAGCAAGAUAUUGAACAAUAAAGGCCUUACAUAGAAGACUUAUCAAAGGCUACAUAAAGAGCAUCCAAAGUCAAAAUGAAGCUUUGGCAGAGUCAACAUAAGAAUGAUGAAGACCUUGACUUUGAAUAUUUGAUCAUAUGAAUGGUUCAUAAUGACUCAGAAAGCAUCACAUAGACAACAUCAGUUCUUCUAUAUGAUGUCACACAUAUAGAGGGAACAUCAGAAGAAUAAAGUUGAUAGAGCACUUCACUUUCCAUAUGUUGCCACAUACAUAGAGGGCUCAUCAGAAAGUGAGAGCUAAUUGCUUAAGGAAAAUGCAAGUUUGUUGAAAAUUGAAGCUGUCCAUGAGAAGUAUUGAUGAGAAACAUCAAAAUGAAAGAUUGAAGAAUGCCACUCAAUUUGACCUUGGAUAGAACACUAACACACCAACACCUAAACUUCUACUUAGUUUUUUUAAAGUAAUCAACUUCAAAAUGCUUGAAGCUGUGAAGAAGUGUUAAGAGUAAUGAAGUUAUGCUACUUCAGAUUGGGAAAUUAGUCUAAACUUCAUCAACUAAAUUCAUCAAGUAUGGAUUCUUUCUCUGUAUACAUCAGAAUGACUAUUCUAAUGGUUCUUUAGAAGGCCCGUCAGAAAGAUUCCUCAGAAUGACUCUACAUGUUGUCACUUCAUGAUAGCUAUAAUGUGUACCUACUUGCUCUAGAAGCUUGUCAGUUGAGUAUAGCCCACCUCAGCUGUCUCCUUAGGAGGUUUAUGUGGCAUUUUCAAAGUGCAUGAUGAACAAGUUGAAGCAUUCCAAAAUAGUAACAUCUAGAGCAAAAUCUCUAAGUGAGAAAUCAAUAUUUUUGCUUCAACCCUCUCUGUGAGAGCAACCCACUUCUGUAUUGUGCUUACAAAUCUGUAAUAUUCUUUAGAUAGAAGUGAGAGAUUUAAUACCAGAGUGGAAUUCCUCUUUCAAGGUGAAGAUUUGUAUUCUGUGCAGUAAAGCAUAAAUCCUCUUUUCUAUUGUAAGUUCAGUAGUAGAUGGCAAAGCUGAAAUCCAAUGGUAUUGUUGGUCUAGUUGAGGCUAGGAUUGAAGUCCAAUUGGGGAACUGGUAGGUUGCUGAAAUCCAAUGGUUUUUGGUCCAAUUAGGAUUGGUUUUGUUAGUGAAAUCUCAUCUUGAAGGGUAAGGAUUGGACGUAGCCCAAGGUUAAAGUGAACCAGUAUAAAAAUCUUUAUGCAUUCUUUUUCCGUCUCUCUUUACUUUGCUUUGCACAGAUCUGAUUUUUGUUUUUGUUCAAUCAUUAAACCAGAUAACCUUUUCUAACCAACACCUACGUUAAACUUGUUUUGAUGAAAAAGGUUUUAAGUAAAUAACUAUCUUUAGAACAAAAGCUUUGAAUUGUAAAAGAACAUAUUUCCAUAACUGUUUGCAUUUUCAUUAUGAGUAACUUAAAUUUCUAUUCUGAGUUCAAAAUAGUUCUUCCUUUGAAUUGGUUCAUUCUAAACUAUCAUAAAAAACUUUUUGUUUUCAAAGGAAACAUUAAAAAUUUUUAAAACCCCAAUUGAACCCCCCAUUCUUGUGGUAGUUUUGUCACUUCAAAAACUGCCAAAGAGAUUUUGUUGAGUGUCAAUUAUGAGGGGACAAAGGACAUUAAAUUGAGGAAAAGUUACCACUCUGAUGAGACAAAAAAGGCUUCAACAUGGUGAAGGAGAAUCUACCGAUGACAUGUUUGGGAGACUACAAGUAUCAUUAAUGGUCUCAAAGCAUUGGGACACACCUUCGUUAAGGCCUCGAUAAACGUGGAGGUGCUAAACAACUUUCCCAAGGUGUAGAAACCAAAGACAACAACCAUCCAAGAGGCCAAAAACAUGAAAAAUCUUACUUAAGGUGAGUUGUUGGGGAUCAUCUGUGUUCAAGAAGUUUACCUUUAGAAUAGAGAUCAACUUUCAAGAAAAUAUUUCCCUGCCCUUAAGAAUGGAGAGACAAGCUCCAAAAUAAAAAAAGAAAAGAAAAGAACUCCUCUAAAGCUCUUAAAGUGCAAAUGGUUGAAUUUGUAGCAUCUAACAACAUAUAUGAUGGAUCCACAUAUGAUGAAGUAGCUCUUAUGUUCAACAAGUUUAAAUAGAUGAUGGAAAAGAAAGUAAAGUCUCAACAUUCCUCCAAAAAGAAAGAUAGCAAAUUUAAAAAGAAGUGCAAGGAGGAAAGAUAUGAGAUCAUCUACUUCGAAUGCAGAAAACUUGGACGCAUGAAAGUUGAAUGUCCCAAACUAUAUAAAAAAAAAGAAUAUACUUUAGGGACAAAGAAAAGUUGGAUGGUCACUUGGGAUGACUCAGACAAUAAGAAGAGUAACAACUCAGAUGAAGAACAAGCCAAUAUUUGUUUGAUAACAGAUAUAGACAAAAAAUGUUGAGGUAAAAAGUUAUUUUGAAUCUUAUACUUUGUCUAACUCUUCAUCAGACAAAGAAGAAGUAAUGUCAUACGAUGUUCUCUUUCAAAAUUGUCAUAUGAUUUCUCCUUAGCGAAAAAAGUAUAAAGAAACACAGAAACUGUAUGUUUGUGAAAACACUGAACUAAAGAAAUCAAAUGAGGCUUUGGAAGAAAAGAUCAAGACACUGGAAAAGAGUCUGAGUCAAGCUAGCACUUCUUGUAUAAUAGACGAACCCUCUAUAAUUGAUAAACUAAAAGAGGAAGUAGUUUAUCUUACCAAAAACUUUGGAAAGUUCUUAGAAAGUUCUAAGACGUUGACUAUGCUUUUAAAAUAUCAUCAACAUCCCAUGACAAGUAUGGCUUAGGUUUAGAAAAAAGAAGCAUCAUGUUCUCAAUCACUAUUUGAUCCAGACAAAUGUGACUGAUGUGAAAAGCCUAUUUUCCAUGUUUUGAUGCAUCCAUAAGAAGAAAAAAAUGUCUAUGGGUACUAAUGUUGUUGGAUCCAAAAAGAUUUGGGUACCAAAAUCUCGUAUUAUUCCUAUUGCAAAUAUCCUUAGUAGGAAAAAGGUCAAGGUUUAAGUUGGUACUUGUACAACGGCUACUCAGAUCACAUGACAGGGGAAUGGUUUAUGUUCCUUGACUAAAGACCAGUUGAAGGAGGAGCAAUUGCUUAUGGAGGCAAAGGAAAAGGACAAAUCAAUUGUAUAGGUAAAAUCAAUAUGCCAUCUAUAGCCUCCUUAGAUAAUGUCUUUUAUGUUGAAGGUCUGAAGUAUAACCUACUGAGCAUAAGUCAAUUUUGUGACAAUGGUUAUAUUAUUUCCUUUAAUAAAGAUUUAGGAGAAAUCUUUGCCAAAAUAAGAAAGUACAACAGAAGGGUUGUGGGAAGGUACUCUUUUUUAGUAUUUUUAGGUUUUUUGGGAGAAGAGUAUAAGGACAAAUGAUUGGACAAUGGGGCUAUAACCUACAUGUAGCCUCCAAGUCCAAAUCAAUGACAUUUUUAGGAGGAUUUGGCAAAGGAAACUUGGCCUCUCCCCCCUUAAUGUUUUGGCAAAUAGUGGUGGCAAUGCCAACAUCAAGGCAGACCAUGCCACCACCAGUGAUGACGCCUCUAAUAGGGAUGCUAACUCUUGGUCAUUGGCAGCAUCAAAGCCACUGUGACAGUGGGGGGUCAUCGUUUGAACUCUCCCUAAUUGGGUGAACUUUCAGCGAAAGCAUUAUACCCCCCCUGGAGCGUACUUGGAAAAAGAAAAUGUGACCAAAGAAAACAAAAGGCGAACGGAAAAGAAAAAGAACGAAGGGUGUUUGGACGGAGGAGAAAACUCAGAAGUGAAAAUGAAAGUGGGAGAAUAAGAGUUUUUCUCCACUUUUUAUAGGCUUUUGGAAGCUUAUAAGGGCUGAAAGGAUGCACCUAUUAGUUCGUUAGAUCUUCUCUCUCUCUCUCUCUCUUUCUCUCAUACACACACACACACACACAAAUCAUUGGUUGGGGAAAUGUUUGACUUUUGGCUAUCUCGAGAGCGUUUUGAAAUGUAAAGGUCGUAAUCAUUACGCCUUUUUUGAAAACAUAUGAUGACAUUAAAUGCAUACGGACAAUACAAUAGUUGACAAGAUGACUCUUCGAAUACUUAAUCACUCAGAUUUGACAAAAGACAACUAUUCCUUCAUUCCCAUUUUAAGACCAAGAUAAAUACUUGGCUAAAGAGGAAAUCAAAUUCCCUUUAGGACUUGACUACAACAAGAUUGAUGAGUAUUACUCAAACUCGGUUGGUAGAUAGCAAUGUCUGGGUUGAGGACUUGAGAUUAUUUUACACAAAACUCCUACAGUCAGCUUCAGAGCUUGAGGGCAUUUGUACUACUCGAACUCGUCAAGCCUCCAUAUUCGGUGGCUGGCCAAGGAGUCUAUUCAGAAUCCAGAGAAUCUAGUAGAUGUAAUUAAAGAAAGAUGGAAACUCUAUCUUUUUCUAGAAAGAUAUAGAUAUCCUCUAAAUUGGAAGUUAUUUACUAUCAGAGAAAAGAUAAGAUAAAAUCAUAUAUUUCCUUAUUUACAUUAUCUUGCAAGGGAAAUUGAGAUCUUAUCAUUCAAUUUCACCUCGUUAAAAAGGGAUCAUCAAGGUUCAGGUAAACCAACUCUUAAUCCAACCUACUUUCUAAUAACUGAUAUACCUUUGCACCUCUAACUUGAACGUCAGAAUGUCCUCGUAGGUACACCCUGUUGAAUCCACAUCUCUAGUAUUAAUUAUGACAAACAACUAGUAAUGCAAAUUAUAAGGAUGAUGGUUUUAUGUGAUGACUAACAUUUUGCUUAAGUGUUUCAGUUUCAAACUUAUUAAGAAGCAGAUGUGUGCAUGCAUUCUGAGGUGCUUAGAAUGAUGCUUAAAAAGGUUAUCUCAGACUGACUGUUAAGAAUAAAGAACUCAUAAGAUCCUUUGAAGCCCAUCUACAUGAUGAAGAAUGCUUCCCUUUGAGUACUUGAUUUUGGCAAAGUACAAGGCAACAAGGCCUUACAUAGAAGAUACAUCAAGGACUACACGUCCAACAUCAGCAAAGUUGCAUUAGAGUCCACAUCAAAAUGAUGAAGACCUUGACUCUAAAGAGUGAACUUCAAAAUAAAGUUCAUAAGGGUUCAGAAUGCACCUCAAAGACAAUAUCAUGCCUUCCAUAUGAUGCCACACAUAUAAAGGACACAUAAGAAGAUUAAAUUUGACUACAUCUCACUUUCCAUAUGUUGCCACACACACUAAGGGCACAUCAAAAAGUGAAUGAUAGUUGUAUUGGCAGAUGUAACCAAGUUGAAAGCUGAAACUGCCUAUGAGAAGAUUUGACAAGAAACAUCAAAAUGGAAGAAUGAAGAUAGCAAUCUAACCUUGGACAGAACACUAACACAUUAACAAUUGUUCCUUCACUAUGUUUUUAUGUAGCAAUCUACUUAAGAAUGCUUUGUGUUGUGAAGAUGUGUUAAGAUUGAUGAAGUUGUGCUACUUCAGAAAGAUAUAUAUCAAUUGAACUUCAUCACAAGUUUGGAUCCUUUCUCAACUAACAUUAGAAUCUCCAUUUUGAUGUACCUUCAAAAUGCUCAUAAGAAAGGUUCCUCAAAAUGGGAACCUCAGAAUGACUUUGCAAGUUGUCGUGAGUUGACAACUAUCAUACCCUAAUUUCGUCCGGGGACCUUUGCUUGAUGACAUGCAACUUUUGUUUGGUCCUUGUGAGGUGCUUGGCACCCAUCAUUAGGCAAUUUGUGAAAUUCCGGGACAUGCCGGAAAACAAAAGAAAAUAUUGAUGCACAAUCCGUAAGGUUCCGUGACACACCGGAAAUCAAAUGGAAGCAUCGUUGCACAAUUAGUGAGUUUCCGUAACAUUCCGUAAGUCAAAAAGGGGAUGAUUAUGUAAUCCACAAGGUUCCGUAACAUUACGGAAAGAAAACAAGUAUCGUUACAAAAUUCGUGAGUUUCCGUAACUUUACGAAAAAAGAAUCACCAAAAAAAGGCAGGGGGUGUAUUUAGUAAAAAUGGGGGUGCAAAUAGCAACCAGGCCCACUUGGGCCCUCCAGAAGAUUCCUCCAGAAGGUUGUUGCUUCUGGAGGAAGCAACCCUGCUCGCCUGGGCGAGCUGGGUGGCAAGCUUCUCCCCCAAUUUUCUAUAAAUAGGGGGAGAAGUGAAGUGAAAAAGGGUUCACCCCCUUAGGCACUUCUCUCUCUUUCGAAUUUGCUUGGAAAAAUUGUUUCCGUGAAGAAAAUCCAAGCCGAGGCGCUUCCGAAACGUUUCCGUAACGUUUCCGUGAGGAAUUUCGCGAAGGUUUCGACCGUUCUUCGACGUUCUUCAUUCGUUCUUCAUCGUUCUUCGAUCUUCAACGGGUAAGUACCUCGAACCAAGCUUUUCGAUUCAUUCUAUGUACCCGUGGUGGUCCACAUUGUGUUUCGUGUAUUUUUAUUCUCGUUUCAUUUACUUUUUAUACCCCCUUUUGACGUGCUUAAGCCAUUUUAUUUAAGUCAUUUCUCGCUUAACCUAAAAAUAAAAUAAAUUUCCACCGAUCGUUUGAAUUGUAUUAUCCGUUAACUUCGGUUAAAAUGAAUUCCGACCGUUCGGUCGUGCCGUAACCACGUUGGAAAUCAAACAACAACAACAACAACAACAACAACGCCUUAUCCCACUAGGUGGGGUCGGCUACAUGGAUCAACUUCCGCCAUAAUGUUCUAUCAAGUACCAUACUUCUAUCCAAACCAUUAAUUUCGAGAUCCUUUUUUAUAACCUCUCUUAUAGUCUUUUUGGGUCUUCCUCUGCCUCGAAUUGUUUGUCUUCUCUCCAUCUGGUCUACUCUCCUCACUACAGAGUCUACCGGUCUUCUCUCUACAUGCCCAAACCACCUAAGUCUAUUUUCCACCAUCUUCUCUACAAUAGGCGCUACUCCAACCCUCUCUCUAAUAGCUUCGUUUCUAAUUUUAUCCUGUCGAGUCUUACCACACAUCCACCGCAACAUCCUCAUCUCCGCUACACCUACUUUAUUCUCACGUUGGAAAUAAAAAAAGAAGUAAAAUAAUAAUAUAAUAAUCAAAAAACGUCUUUUAGUAAAAUAAAGCGGAAAAUCAAUCGAACGUUUUCUCUUUGGGAUUUCUCAUUCUUAAUUGAAUUGACUAAUAACUAAAGUGAAACUAAGGCUAAAAUCAACUCGCCUAGUCAAGCUCGUCCAUAAAAAAAGGUUUCUGAAGUUUAUCAUUUCAAUUUCUUACUAAGUAAAAUGGAUCAUUUUCAAGGUCCAACGCCUUCAAAUGAUCACCUUUUAAGUAAAAAAGAAUCACUUGAUAAGAAAGAACUACGUAGGUCUGAUUUCCUCAUCGCAAUUGAGGAAUACGUAGGAGCAAAGGGAAACACCCUUGUCGACCACAAAAAGAGAAAAAAAUAUAAAAAAGGUAUAAAGGAUAUAAAGACAUAAAAAGGGAACAUAAAAAUCAAGGUCAUGUUUGCACAUUCGAUUAAAGGCUGCCGUCCCUUGGGACGGACGUGUGGGGUGCUAAUACCUUCCCCGUGCGUAAAUACAACUCCCGAACCUUUCACUUAAAAGUUCGUAGAUCACGUCUUUUCCGGUUUUUCCGACGUUUUCCUCAAAUAAACGUUGGUGGCGACUCCGCGCGUAUUCCUUUCGUGGGACACGCAUCCCGCGAGUCACGCGUCGCCCUCCCGCCGAAGGGUAGGUUGCGACAGUUGGCGACUCCACUGGGGACUGUUUUUAGAGAGUUAGGCCAUUUAAUCUUGUGCAAAGUUUUGCCAUGACUUACUCCUUUGUUGGUUUCCCUUUAUUAUGUUCUUGUAUAUAUAACUCUUUGAUGCUUUUAGUGCAUUCUUGUAUGCAUGAGGUAAAUAUUUAUUCAUUUAAUGCACACAAACACUAACACUAUUUGCACACACGGUGAGUUGAAAAAGGGCCCUAUACCCGGGUUCGUGGGAACAUAAGGAGUGGAGGUGAAUUUGUGAUCAUGCUAGGUCUCCAACUUGCUUGAUUACAGUGAACCCUCAUCUAGAGUUUUUUUCUUUGAAAACAUAUUGUUGCUAGUAGUCCCUACUGCUGCAGUAUGUUCUUCGAAGGCGAUGAUACCUCUAGAAACCAUCAAGAGAGAUAUGACUACCUUGGGGGUUAUCACUAAAAGCCUAGUUAGCUCUCUCCCUUAUAGGUCCCUUAAAUAGGGGCACAGAGCAAACACACUGCGUGCCAUUUUUCACACUGCCAUGCAUAAGUAUCAUAUACCCUUUUGCUUAUAUUUGUUUAUGAAUAUUGUCGUACUAUGUACAUCCCCGUAUUGUACCUUUCGCAUAUGCAUCAUGUGCGGGUUCCGUCUUAAUCCCCUCUCUUGGGCAAACCAACGGAGGGUCCGUGUCACCUUCUUAAAUACAUACGUUGGGCACUUUGCUACCCCAAGACGUUGUAUCUAAGAAGGAGACAAUUUCCCGGGCUCCCGUAUUCAUAAAUUGCAUCUGUGUCAUAUGCAUUCCUUCGUGCAUUCAUCCAUUCCACCCAUGAUAGAUGUCGGAGUUUUGAUUCGCACUAGAUCUUGUUUCACUUUAGUAAAACAUGGGAUCAAGUCAAAAGCCUUCGCUUAAAAAGAGGUUUUAUCAAGUCAAAAUCAAGAGCUUAGAGGUCACUAGUUUACGAGAGUUGGGGCAAUUAAUGGGUCAACUUCAACGGCAAGCCUUCCGCAAAGCCUAUGGUAAGCAUUUGGGACCUAGCUAGGGUAGAAGUCUCCAUGGAACCAAUUGCAUCCCUUGCCCAGUAUUAUGACCAGCCCCUAAGGUGCUUCACAUUUGAGGACUUCCAGCUAGUGCCGACUGUGGAAGAGUUUGAAGAAAUCCUGGGAUGCCCACUGGGAGGAAGGAAGCCAUAUCUUUUCUUUGGGUUCUAUCCCUCCACGACAAGAGUUGCCAAGGUAGUGAAAAUCUCAGCACAAGAGUUGGACCGUGUAAAGCAAAACAGAAAUGGAGUAGUCGGAGUACCAAGGAAGUGUUUGGAGGAAAGGGCAAAGGCCUUGGAAAAUCAAGGCAAAUGGGCUUUCUUUUAUUGACAUCUUGGCGAUUUUGAUCUUUGGAGUUGUCCUUGUUAGUGUUUGGCUCUACUAAGCUUUAAAAGAUUGGCUAAGAUUUUGUUAAAACAUAAGCACUUAGACAAUGAAGGAAAGCUGGAGUUGCUGCACAUGAUGUCCAACGGUAUGUCAAGGAAUAAGAUCGGGCUGCACAAUGCACAAGGCAAGAUAAAAUGUCAAAUGAAGAAUUGAAGUUGCAGGAUCCACGAUGUCGGAUACAAUGUCCUGACAUCCUGCCCGAAAAUACUGGAGUUGCUGUACAAUGCAAGAUAAAAGACAAGUGCAGAAGUGAAGCUGCAGGAUCCACGAUGUCGGAUACAAUGUCCUGACAUCCUGCCCGAGAAUACUGGAAUUGCUGUACAAUGCAAGAUAAAAGUCAAGUGCAGAAGUGAAGCUGCAGGAUCCACGAUGUCGGACACGAUGUCCUGACAUCCGGCCCGAAAAUACUGGACAUAUAAAUCUGUUAUAUCUUUAACAGAUUAUUGUGCAGUUAGCAAGAGAUUAGAAGAUCUAUCUUUAGGAACGAAUUAAAAGAUCAUUAAAGUUCGAAUUUCAAAGUAGAAGAGUUCGUUCAGGGAUUAAAGAUUAAAGAUUAAAGAUUCAAACUAAAAGAUCAAAAGUUAUCUUUUAGUUCUCUAACUGCAGAUUUUUUGCAGAAGAAGAUAGAUCUCCUCCAGCACAAGCCGUUGCAGCCCAGAAACGCAAAUUGCUAUAUAAUCAUGGAGGCUGCACGAGUUCUGCACCAAGUCCGGGAUUGAAGAGUUAGUUUGUGAGUUUUUGGGACUUGAGUCUUUUGUGAGCCACCUUGAUGGUACCCUAGCAUCAAGUGUUGGACCUAUGUGUGUAGAGUUGAUCUCUUGUGUGUAGAGUUGAUCUCUUUUGUUCAGAGUUGAUCUCUGGUGUGUCUUUGACUUAAUUGUAAACACGGGAGUGUGAGUGAGAGGGAGUGAGCAGAGGUUCUCAUAUCUAAGAGUGGCUCUUAGGUAGAGAUCGCACGGGUAGUGGUUAGGUGAGAAGGUUGUAAACAGGGGCUGUUAGACCUUGAACUAACACUAUUGAGAGUGGAUUUCCUCCCUGGCUUGGUAGCCCCCAGAUGUAGGUGAGGUUGCACCGAACUGGGUUAACAAUUCUCUUGUGUUAUUUACUUGUUUAAUCUGUUCAUACGGACACAUAUAAUCUGCAUGUUCUGAAGCGUGAUGUCGUGACAUCCGGUACGACAUCUGUCCCCUGGUAUCAGAAUUUCAAUUGGUAUCAGAGCCAACACUCGAAAUCACAGAGUGAGAUCUAGGGAGAUAAAUUCUGAUGAACAUGGAGAAAGAAGGAGGACCAGUGAACAGACCACCAAUCCUAGAUGGAACCAACUAUGAAUACUGGAAAGCAAGGAUGGUGGCCUUCCUCAAAUCACUGGAUAGCAGGACCUGGAAAGCUGUCAUCAAAGGCUGGGAACAUCCCAAGAUGCUGGACACAGAAGGAAAGCCCACUGAUGAAUUGAAGCCAGAAGAAGACUGGACUAAAGAAGAAGACGAAUUGGCACUUGGAAACUCCAAAGCCUUGAAUGCUCUAUUCAAUGGAGUUGACAAGAAUAUCUUCAGACUGAUCAACACAUGUACAGUGGCCAAGGAUGCUUGGGAGAUCCUAAAAACCACUCAUGAAGGAACCUCCAAAGUGAAGAUGUCCAGAUUGCAACUAUUGGCCACAAAAUUCGAAAAUCUGAAGAUGAAGGAGGAAGAAUGCAUUCAUGACUUCCACAUGAACAUUCUUGAAAUUGCCAAUGCUUGCACUGCCUUGGGAGAGAAGAUGACAGAUGAAAAGCUGGUGAGAAAGAUUCUCAGAUCCUUGCCUAAGAGAUUUGACAUGAAAGUCACUGCAAUAGAGGAGGCCCAAGACAUUUGCAACAUGAGAGUAGAUGAACUCAUUGGUUCCCUUCAAACCUUUGAGUUAGGACUCUCGGAUAGGGCUGAAAAGAAGAGCAAGAAUCUGGCUUUCGUGUCCAAUGAUGAAGGAGAUGAAGAUGAGUAUGACCCGGAUACUGAUGAAGGUCUGACUAAGGCAGUUGUGCUCCUUGGAAAGCAGUUCAACAAAGUGCUGAACAGAAUGGACAAGAGGCAGAAACCACAUGUCCAGAACAUCCCUUUCGACAUCAGGAAAGGCAGUAAAAACCAGAAAAGAUCAGAUGUAAAGCCCAGUCACAGCAAAGGAAUUCAAUGCCAUGGGUGUGAAGGCUAUGGACACAUCAUAGCUGAAUGCCCCACUCAUCUCAAGAAGCAGAGGAAAGGACUUUCUGUAUGUCGAUCUGAUACAGAGAGUGAACAAGAAAGUGACUCUGACAGAGAUGUGAAUGCACUCACUGGGAGAUUUGAAUCUGCUGAAGAUUCAAGUGAUACAGACAGUGAAAUCACUUUUGAUGAGCUUGCUACAUCCUAUAGAGAACUAUGCAUCAAAAGUGAGAAGAUUCUUCAGCAAGAAGCACAACUGAAGAAGGUCAUUGCAGAUCUGGAGGCUGAUAAGGAGGCACAUAAAGAGGAGAUCUCUGAGCUUAAAGGAGAAGUCGGUUUUCUGAACUCUAAAUUGGAAAACAUGACCAAAUCAAUAAAGAUGCUGAAUAAAGGCUCAGAUACGCUUGAUGAGGUGCUGCUGCUUGGAAAGAAUGCUGGAAACCAGAAAGGACUUGGAUUUAAUCCUAAGUCUGCUGGCAGAACGACCAUGACAGAAUUUGUUCCUGCCAAAAACAGGACUGGAGCCACGAUGUCACAACAUCGGUCUCGACAUCAUGGAAUGCAGCAGAAAAAAAGCAAAAGAAAGAAGUGGAGGUGUCACUACUGUGGCAAGUAUGGUCACAUAAAGCCCUUUUGCUAUCAUCUACAUGGCCAUCCACAUCAUGGAACUCAAAGUAGCAACAGCAGAAAGAAGAUGAUGUGGGUUCCAAAACACAAGGCUGUCAGUCUUGUUGUUCAUACUUCACUUAGAGCAUCAGCUAAGGAAGAUUGGUACCUAGAUAGCGGCUGUUCCCGACACAUGACAGGAGUCAAAGAAUUCCUGCUGAACAUUGAGCCCUGCUCCACUAGUUAUGUGAUAUUUGGAGAUGGCUCUAAAGGAAAGAUCAUUGGAAUGGGAAAGCUAGUUCAUGAUGGACUUCCUAGUCUGAACAAAGUACUGCUGGUGAAGGGACUGACUGCAAACUUGAUCAGCAUCAGUCAGCUGUGUGAUGAAGGAUUCAAUGUAAACUUCACUAAGUCAGAAUGCUUGGUGACAAAUGAGAAGAGUGAAGUUCUAAUGAAGGGCAGCAGAUCAAAGGACAAUUGUUACCUAUGGACACCCCAAGAAACCAGCUACUCCUCCACAUGUCUAUCCUCCAAAGAAGAUGAAGUCAAAUUAUGGCAUCAAAGGUUCGGACAUCUGCACUUAAGAGGCAUGAAGAAAAUCAUUGACAAAGGUGCUGUGAGAGGCAUUCCCAAUCUGAAAAUAGAAGAAGGCAGAAUCUGUGGUGAAUGUCAGAUUGGAAAGCAAGUCAAGAUGUCCCACCAGAAGCUUCAACAUCAGACCACUUCCAGGGUGCUGGAACUACUUCACAUGGAUUUGAUGGGGCCUAUGCAGGUUGAAAGCCUUGGAGGAAAGAGGUAUGCCUAUGUUGUUGUGGAUGAUUUCUCCAGAUUUACCUGGGUUAACUUUAUCAGAGAGAAAUCAGAAACCUUUGAAGUAUUCAAAGAAUUGAGUCUAAGACUUCAAAGAGAAACGGACUGUGUCAUCAAGAGAAUCAGGAGUGACCAUGGCAGAGAAUUUGAAAACAGCAGGUUCACUGAAUUCUGCACAUCUGAAGGCAUCACUCAUGAGUUCUCUGCAGCCAUUACACCACAACAGAAUGGGAUAGUUGAGAGGAAAAACAGGACUUUGCAAGAGGCUGCUAGGGUCAUGCUUCAUGCCAAAGAACUUCCCUAUAAUCUCUGGGCUGAAGCCAUGAACACAGCAUGCUACAUCCACAACAGAGUCACACUUAGAAGAGGCACUCCAACCACACUGUAUGAAAUCUGGAAAGGGAGGAAGCCAACUGUCAAGCACUUCCACAUCUUUGGAAGUCCAUGUUACAUCUUGGCAGAUAGAGAGCAAAGGAGAAAGAUGGAUCCCAAGAGUGAUGCAGGAAUAUUCCUGGGAUACUCUACAAACAGCAGAGCAUAUAGAGUAUUCAAUUCCAGAACCCGAACUGUGAUGGAAUCCAUCAAUGUGGUUGUUGAUGAUCUAUCUCCAGCAAGAAAGAAGGAUGUCGAAGAAGAUGUCAGAACAUCUGGAGACAAUGUAGCAGAUGCAGCUAAAAGUGGAGAAAAUGCAGAAAACUCUGAUUCUGCUACAGAUGAAUCAAACAUCAACCAACCUGACAAGAGACCCUCCAUUAGAAUCCAGAAAAUGCAUCCCAAGGAGCUGAUUAUAGGAGAUCCAAACAGAGGAGUCACUACAAGAUCAAGGGAGAUUGAGAUCGUCUCCAAUUCGUGCUUUGUCUCCAAAAUUGAGCCCAAGAAUGUGAAAGAGGCACUGACAGAUGAGUUCUGGAUCAAUGCUAUGCAAGAAGAAUUGGAGCAAUUCAAAAGGAAUGAAGUUUGGGAGCUAGUUCCUAGGCCCGAGGGAACUAAUGUGAUUGGCACCAAGUGGAUCUUCAAGAACAAAACCAAUGAAGAAGGUGUCAUAACCAGAAACAAGGCCAGACUGGUUGCUCAAGGCUACACUCAGAUUGAAGGUGUAGACUUUGAUGAGACUUUUGCCCCAGUUGCUAGACUUGAGUCCAUCAGAUUAUUACUUGGUGUAGCUUGCAUCCUCAAAUUCAAGCUGUACCAGAUGGAUGUGAAGAGCGCAUUUCUGAAUGGAUACCUGAAUGAAGAAGUCUAUGUGGAGCAGCCAAAGGGAUUUGUAGACCCAACUCAUCCAGAUCAUGUAUACAGGCUCAAGAAGGCUCUCUAUGGAUUGAAGCAAGCUCCAAGAGCUUGGUAUGAAAGGCUAACAGAAUUCCUUACUCAGCAAGGGUAUAGGAAGGGAGGAAUUGACAAGACUCUCUUUGUCAAACAAGAUGCUGAAAACUUGAUGAUUGCACAGAUAUAUGUUGAUGACAUUGUGUUUGGAGGGAUGUCGAAUGAGAUGCUUCGACAUUUUGUUCAACAGAUGCAAUCUGAAUUUGAGAUGAGUCUUGUUGGAGAGCUGACUUAUUUUCUGGGACUUCAAGUGAAGCAGAUGGAAGACUCUAUAUUCCUCUCUCAAAGCAAGUAUGCAAAGAACAUUGUCAAGAAGUUUGGAAUGGAGAAUGCCAGUCAUAAAAGGACACCUGCACCUACUCACUUGAAGCUGUCAAAGGAUGAAGCAGGCUCCAGUGUUGAUCAAAGUCUUUACAGAAGCAUGAUUGGGAGCUUACUAUAUUUAACAGCUAGCAGACCCGACAUCACCUAUGCAGUAGGUGUUUGUGCAAGAUAUCAAGCCAAUCCCAAGAUAAGUCACUUGACUCAAGUAAAGAGAAUUCUGAAAUAUGUAAAUGGCACCAGUGACUAUGGGAUUAUGUACUGUCAUUGUUCAGAUUCAAUGCUGGUUGGGUAUUGUGAUGCUGAUUGGGCUGGAAGUGCAGAUGACAGAAAAAGCACUUCUGGUGGAUGCUUCUAUCUGGGCAACAACCUUAUUUCAUGGUUCAGCAAGAAGCAGAACUGUGUGUCCCUAUCUACUGCAGAAGCCGAGUAUAUUGCAGCAGGAAGCAGCUGUUCACAGCUAGUUUGGAUGAAGCAGAUGCUGAAGGAGUACAAUGUCGAACAAGAUGUCAUGACAUUGUACUGUGACAACAUGAGUGCUAUUAAUAUUUCUAAAAAUCCUGUUCAACACAGCAGAACCAAGCACAUUGACAUUAGACAUCACUAUAUCAGAGAUCUUGUUGAUGAUAAAGUGAUCACACUGAAGCAUGUUGACACUGAGGAACAAAUAGCAGAUAUUUUCACAAAGGCUUUGGAUGCAAAUCAGUUUGAAAAACUGAGGGGCAAGCUGGGCAUUUGUCUGCUAGAGGAAUUAUAGCAGCUACUGCAAUCUGAACGUGCCCAAACGAAUCACUUAACAUUAAUAGCACGUUCACCACAAAGCAAAUUCGACCGUUGCUUCACACGCCCCUCUACAUUCUUCAUUCAAAUUUAUAUCUGCUUGGCAUUCGUGUUUUUACCAGCAUUUCCCAAUAGCCUUCUGAGAUUUACGAAAUCAUUCCAAACGCUCUGCUUUUCCAUGGCUACCUCACCAAAAGAAACUGCAGCUUCUGGUUCACCCGCUGUACCAUCAUCUCCGCACCAGGAACAACCAGAAUUCAACAUUCAACCUAUACAAAUAAUUCCUGGUCAAGCUUCUGUCCCUGAGAAACUGGUUCCCAGAAGACAACAGGGAGUGAAGAUUGCUGAAAACCCUAGCCUUGCAACAAGUUCUAGGGAAGUAGACAAGGAGAUGGACAAGAAAAUCCGCAGUAUCGUGAGUAGCAUUUUGAAAGACGCCUCUGUUCCUGAUGCUGGUGAAGAUGUUCCAACAUCUUCCACCCCGAAUGUUUCUGUGCCGGAUGUUGAGAAAGAUGUUCCAACAUCUUCCGGGCCAAAUGCUGAAGUACUCUCUUCCCCCAGCAAAGAGAGAUCAACAGAGGAAGAUGAUCAAGCGACAAAGGAGACCCCUGCACCAAGGGCACCAGAACCUGCUCCAGGUGACCUCAUUGACCUGGAAGAAGUAGAAUCUGAUGAGGAACCCAUUGCCAACAGGUUGGCACCUGGCGUUGCAGAACGAUUACAAAGCCGAAAAGGGAAAACUCCCAUCAAGAGGUCUGGACGAAUCAAAACUAUGGCCCAGAAGAAGAGCACUCCAAUCACUCCUACCUCAUCCAGACGAAGCAAAGUCGCGAUUCCUUCCAAGAAGAGGAAAGAAAUUUCCUCAUCUGACUCUGAUGAGGAUGUCGAACUAGAUGUCUCGACAUCAAAGAGGGCCAAGACAUCAGGGAAGAAGGUGCCUGAAAAUGUCCCUGAUGCCCCAUUGGACAACAUCUCAUUCCACACCAUUGGCAAUGCAGAAAGGUGGAAAUUCGUGUAUCAACGCAGACUUGCCUUGGAAAGAGAACUGGGAAGAACUGCCAUGGAUUGCAAGGAGAUCAUGGACCUCAUCAAGGCUGCUGGACUGCUGAAGACUGUCAGCAAGUUGGGAGAUUGCUAUGAAGGGUUAGUCAGGGAAUUCAUUGUCAACAUUCCCUCUGACAUAUCAAACAGAAAAAGUGAUGAUUAUCAAAGAGUGUUUGUCAGAGGAAAGUGUGUUAGAUUCUCCCCUGCUGUGAUCAACAAAUAUCUGGGCAGACCUACUGAUGGAGUAAUAGAUAUUGAUGUUUCUGAGCAUCAGAUUGCCAAGGAAAUCACUGCCAAACAAGUCCAGCAUUGGCCGAAGAAAGGGAAGCUUUCAGCAGGGAAGCUAAGUGUGAAGUAUGCAAUUCUGCACAGGAUUGGAGCUGCAAACUGGGUUCCCACCAAUCAUACUUCCACUGUUGCCACAGGUUUGGGUAAAUUUCUGUAUGCUGUUGGAACCAAGUCCAAAUUUAAUUUUGGAAACUAUAUUUUUGAUCAAACUGUUAAGCAUUCAGAAUCAUUUGCUGUCAAAUUACCCAUUGCCUUCCCUACUGUAUUGUGUGGCAUUAUGUUGAGUCAGCAUCCCAAUAUGUUAAACUACACUGACUCUGUGAUAAAGAGAGAAUCUCCUCUAUCCCUGCAUUACAAACUGUUUGAGGGGACACAUGUCCCAGACAUUGUCUCGACAUCAGGGAAAGCUGCUGCUUCAGGUGCUGUGUCCAAGGAUGCUCUGAUUGCUGAACUCAAGGACACAUGCAAGGUGCUGGAAGCAACCAUCAAAGCCAACACAGAGAAGAAGAUGGAGCUAGAACGGCUGAUCACAAGGCUCUCAGAAAGUGGCAUUGAUGAUGAAGAAGCAGCUGAAGAAGAGGAAGAGGCAGCUGAGGAAGACAAAGAAGCAGCUGAAGAAGAAGAAGAAGCUGCUGAGGAAGAGGAAGAUGCAGCAGAAGAGACAGAAUCAGAUGAUGAUUCUGAAGCCACCCCAUGAUCAUCAGACCCUUAUGUUUGCUUUUCACUUUUAUUAGCUAAAGGGGCAUGUCCCUUUGAACAAUUGAUUGUUAUUGUUCUGUAAUAUUCGCACAUUAAUUUCAUGCAUCCUACUUUUGCCAAAUUUAUGUCUAAAAAGGGGGAGUAAUAGUAUUAUGCUUGCUAUUAUGCAUGAUUUUAAGCAGUAGGAUAAUAUGUAUGAUACGAUGUAUGGCAGUAGGAAACGAUGUAUGCAUGAUUCAUGAUUUUGAGGGGGAGUUGUAUGUACACGAUUUUGAGGGGGAGACUGCUGCUGAUGACGACUGAUGUAAGCUACUAGAAGCUGCUAGAAGAUGCUGCAGUAAGAGCAUGAAGACAGGGGGAGCAGAUAGUGGAUGUCACAUGAGAUGUCUCGACAUCCUGGAAAAGACUAGUAGCUGAUAGAAGAUGCUGAAGUAAGCAUGAAGACAGGGGGAGCAGAAGCAGAAAGCUGAUGUCACGAGAGAUGUCUUGACAUCCUGGAGAAGACUUGUAGAUUUGCAACUUGAAGAAUUUCCGCUGUGCUUGAUUACUCUGAUAAUGGAAGUUGCUGAUCCCACUUGCAUAACUGCUCGUACCUGCUCAGGAAGUGUCUAAGUAUGUUUUAGACAAAAUUUGCCAAAGGGGGAGAUUGUUAGUGUUUGGCUCUACUGAGCUUUAAAAGAUUGGCUAAGAUUUUGUUAAAACAUAAGCACUUAGACAAUGAAGGAAAGCUGGAGUUGCUGCACAUGAUGUCCAACGGUAUGUCAAGGAAUAAGAUCGGGCUGCACAAUGCACAAGGCAAGAUAAAAUGUCAAAUGAAGAAUUGAAGUUGCAGGAUCCACGAUGUCGGAUACAAUGUCCUGACAUCCUGCCCGAAAAUACUGGAGUUGCUGUACAAUGCAAGAUAAAAGACAAGUGCAGAAGUGAAGCUGCAGGAUCCACGAUGUCGGAUACAAUGUCCUGACAUCCUGCCCGAGAAUACUGGAAUUGCUGUACAAUGCAAGAUAAAAGUCAAGUGCAGAAGUGAAGCUGCAGGAUCCACGAUGUCGGACACGAUGUCCUGACAUCCGGCCCGAAAAUACUGGACAUAUAAAUCUGUUAUAUCUUUAACAGAUUAUUGUGCAGUUAGCAAGAGAUUAGAAGAUCUAUCUUUAGGAACGAAUUAAAAGAUCAUUAAAGUUCGAAUUUCAAAGUAGAAGAGUUCGUUCAGGGAUUAAAGAUUAAAGAUUAAAGAUUCAAACUAAAAGAUCAAAAGUUAUCUUUUAGUUCUCUAACUGCAGAUUUUUUGCAGAAGAAGAUAGAUCUCCUCCAGCACAAGCCGUUGCAGCCCAGAAACGCAAAUUGCUAUAUAAUCAUGGAGGCUGCACGAGUUCUGCACCAAGUCCGGGAUUGAAGAGUUAGUUUGUGAGUUUUUGGGACUUGAGUCUUUUGUGAGCCACCUUGAUGGUACCCUAGCAUCAAGUGUUGGACCUAUGUGUGUAGAGUUGAUCUCUUGUGUCUAGAGUUGAUCUCUAGUGUGUAGAGUUGAUCUCUUUUGUUCAGAGUUGAUCUCUGGUGUGUCUUUGACUUAAUUGUAAACACGGGAGUGUGAGUGAGAGGGAGUGAGCAGAGGUUCUCAUAUCUAAGAGUGGCUCUUAGGUAGAGAUCGCACGGGUAGUGGUUAGGUGAGAAGGUUGUAAACAGGGGCUGUUAGACCUUGAACUAACACUAUUGAGAGUGGAUUUCCUCCCUGGCUUGGUAGCCCCCAGAUGUAGGUGAGGUUGCACCGAACUGGGUUAACAAUUCUCUUGUGUUAUUUACUUGUUUAAUCUGUUCAUACGGACACAUAUAAUCUGCAUGUUCUGAAGCGUGAUGUCGUGACAUCCGGUACGACAUCUGUCCCCUGGUAUCAGAAUUUCAGUCCUCUUUCCGAAUAUGGAAGGGUUAGUGGACCUAGCAGUGAUUGACGCUUUCCUCGCCUUUCAUCAUGGGAAGGAAAGCCCGGUCGUCGCCAUUUUGGCCAUGUAUGACACGUUCGACCGGGGAUGUGAAAAGAGCGACGCAAGAAUUUUUUGUUGUGCACUGGCUCUCUAUGUGUGGUUCGUUUCACACCCUUUUCUCCAAGAAGGUAGGCCCGUCUAUCCGCUACAAGGUCACCGCUCGUGUGUCGAAAAAGGAAAGGCGAAUUGGGACCAACUCUUGGCUAGCAUGGAGGGGCGUCUGUUAAUUGGUUCCCUCGCUAGAAGGAAGGAAGAAUCAGGAUUCUAUCUUCAUGCGAAGGAUGUCCAAAUGUUCUCUUGAUGGGAACAAGGGGUUGUAUUAAUUAUAAUCCCGUCCUCGCCAUAAGACAGCUUGGCUACCCCAUGAGAGGAGUGCCAUCAGACGAAAGCAUCAUGCCUUUCAUCGCACGGGGUUUCAGUGACCACAACACAAGGGUACUCCAAGGAGUUCGCAAGGCAUGGGAUGCGGCGUGAAGAAAGGACAGAGAGCUUAGGGGAAGCAGUAAUGGGAUCAUCGGCGGCUAACAUAAGUGGCUGAGAGUCCGAACACAAGGAUUGGAUUGGCUCCCAAAUCUAAAGACUGUGAGAGACGAUGAGGUUAAAGCUUCGGAAGAAAGUGAUGAGGUACAAGCCCUAAAGGCAGAGCUUGAAAGAGAGACGAUGAGUGACUGUUAUAAACAUUUUCAGCUGCUGGUAAUCAAUUACCAGAGAGCAAAUCUCAAUUUGAAAUUAUAGAAUUCUUUGGUCAAACCUCUCAUUUUUCAAUUUGGAGACUUCUUCCUAAGAUUCUAGAGAUCAACUUGAUCAUAUAUCUUGAUUUCUUGUCUCGAAUAAAACUUAGAAGCACUUGAUCCUUUGGCAUCAUCAAAACAUCAAAACAUCUUGCUUCUACAUAGGAGUCAUUUGACUUAAUCCAUCAAAAAAUCCUUCAACUAUUUCUCGUCCUUGGAAAAAUUCUUUUUGCAAGAAUCAACUGCUUCUUUCAUUCUUCCUCACUACGAGGCUAUGAAAACAAGACAACGAUGGUUACCUCAUAGCCCUACACUGGGGCAAUGAAAGGCACCAUGCAUAAACCUCAAGUGAACCUAAGGGCAGAUUAGAAGUUCUCACCCAAUAGGUUCCCUCCUACAAGGUCAUGACGAAAGACAACGAUUGGUACCUCAAAGCCUUACACUGGGGCAAUGAGGGGCACCGUGCAUGAGCCUCAAGUGAAUAUAAGGGCCGAUCAAAAGUUCACACCCAUCGAUGUUUUUUAAAAAUAAAAAAUAAAAAAUAAAAAAAUAAUAAUAAAAAAGGGGACAAACCCUGGAAUUUCAAUGGAUUGAUUAAACAUCAAACGACUCCAUUGCCGUCACUCCAAAAUGGUCAAAUGACUAAAUCAAACAGAACACACACUCUGAGGGAGUUCUUGGAGAGAUUUGCAAAAGAUAGGAUAAGGUUGCAUGGACUAUCACCUCUUUCAAAAGGACAGUCAAUCUGUGUUUUCCAAAAAAUUAAAUCAAAAUCACAAAAUAGGGAAAGAAUGUCAUGAACGUUGUACAACUUUCCAUUACAUUGCAUUGUUUCAUAUGAAGUCUGCAUUUACCGCAUUUCAAGACAAAAGUUGCAUGCAUCUGCAUCCCUAAAAAAUCAUGUUAACUGCAUAGAUUUCCUACAUCUAAUGUCCAGUCGUGUGGAUUUGGGAUGACCGACCCUCUCGAUGAGUCGAUCUCUUGCUUUCUCAUAAGGGUGAACCCUUGGGUACUAGUACCCUCACCUCCAGAGGACUACAUGUCCUCGCCAUCAGAGGACUGCAUGUCCUCACCUUCGUAGGGCUACACGCCCUCACCUUUAGAGGACCACACGUCCUCACCUUCAGAGGGCUACACGCCCUCGCCAUCAGAGGACUGCAUGUCCUUACCUUCGUAGGGCUACACGUCCUCACCUUCAGAGGGCUACACGCCCUCGCCAUCAGAGGACUGCAUGUCCUCACCUUCGUAGGGCUACACGCCCUCACCUUUAGAGGACCACACGUCCUCACCUUCAGAGGGCUACACGCCCUCGCCAUUAGAGGACUGCAUGUCCUCACCUUCAGAGGGCUACACGCCCUCGCCAUCAGAGGACUGCAUGUCCUCACCUUCGUAGGGCUACACGCCCUCACCUUUGGAGGACUACACGUCCUCGCCAACAGAGGGUUGUACGCCUUCACCUUUAGAGGACCACACGUCCUCACCUUCAGAGGGCUACACGCCCUCGCCAUCAGAGGACUGCAUGUCCUCACCUUCGUAGGGCUACACGCCCUCACCUUUAGAGGACUACACGUCCUCGCCAACAGAGGGCUGCACGCUCUCACCUUGAGAGGACUACACGUCCUCGCCAACAGAGGGCUGUACGCCCUCACCUUGAGAGGACUACACACCCUCACCUCCAGAGGACUACACAUCCUCGCCUUGAGAGGGCUGCAUGCCCUCACCUUUAGAGGGCUACGUGUCCUCAUUUUCAGUGUGCUCCACAUCCGCACCUUAAGAGAAUUUAAGGUCCUCUAUCCUUAAAUGCUUAACCGAGACUUGCACUCCCGGUUAAGGGACCAGUAGUUUCCUUUUAACAGUUCCUGGGCCACCCCCUAAUAUUGGAGGGCGACCAACUGUGUAAGCACAACCAGAGAGGGAGGCUAUCACGCAGCUACUAUGCAUACCGGGGCAAGAUUUCACCCGGGCCGCUGCAAAGAGACGAGUGUGGAUCAUGCGUACCAACAUGACCACUCAUACACAGAUAUAAAUGACGUUGUUACUUUGCAACAUUCUGCCCAGCGACCGUAAUGUCGAUCUCCCCCUGCGGAAGUAUCAGUUGGUCUGUGCCGUCCCGACAUAGGUAUGUAUGCAUUAUUUCCAACUAAUUUCUAAUGCCAUCUACUAUUUGCAGGGAUCGCGCCCACAAGACACCCAGUGGACCCGGAAAAGUCCAACAGGGCCCUGGGGUUUCCAGCUCUGGUUACGGGCCUCUAUCAGUCCUACAGGGUACCCGUACCCCCCCGGCAAGGUCACGUCAUCAUAGGUAAGUAUGCACAUCACUCAACUGAUUUUUGAUUUCAUCUAUUGUUUGCAGGGAUCGCGCCUGCAAGACACCCAGUGGACCCGAAGAAGUCCAACAGGGUCUUGGAGUUGUCAAGCUCUAAUUACGGGUCUCUGUCAGUUCUACGGAGUACCUGUCACCUCCAGCAAGGGCAUCAGGCCCCCUACUAAUCGAGCUUUCAUCAAGAAGUACUGCGUCUCCAGGCAGGCGCAGGGCGAAACACCACAGCAGCCUGGGGAUGGCCGGCAGUGGGCAACAGACGCACCGCCAUCACCUCUAGAGUUCACCUCUGCUCAUCCACAAAAAGGUUUGAGUAUUGCCUACACCACAUGGCCGACCAAUAGACGACCAAGUCCAAAGCCAAAGGUAAGCAAAGUACUAGGUCAGUGACCGACAAGUCAUAAGGCAUCCAGCUCAAGACGUUAAAGAAGCGCUACUAGGAGGCAACCUAGUACCUUUUGAAUCUAUGCUUGUUAUUUGAUCACUUUUUAUAGUAGGACACACCUAGUUGCUCAUGAUCAUGGGAAUUUAAAUAAAACAAGCGCAAGCUCGGAAGGUAGUCAUACCUCACAAAAUAUAUAUAUGUAUGUUUAGGUAGUGAAAAUACCUUAGAUAUGCAUGUAUGUAAACAAAAAAAAACACUUCACAAAAUAUAUAUAUAUAUAUAUAUAUAUAUAUGUAUGUUUAGGUAGAAAGAUACCUUAGAUAUGCAUGUAUGUAAACAAAAAAUACUUCACAAAAUAUAUAUAUGUAUGUUUAGGUAGAAAGAUACCUUGGAUAUGCAUGUAUAUAGCAAAUAUACCUUACAAAACAUAUAUAUGUAUGUUUAGGUAGCAAGAUACCUUGGAUAUGCAUGUAUAUAGCAAAAAUACCUCACAAAAAUAUACACAUGUUUAAGUAGCAAAAUACCUCAUGAAAAAAAAAACAAAAAAAAACAAACAAGAAAAAGAAAUAAACAAAUGAUAAUGAUAAAAAAAGGAAGAAAAAAAAGAAAAAAAGUUGUCUAGUUGAAAAACCAACAUGCUUUCGAAAAGAGAUGACUUUUAACUCUUCUUUGAAAAAAAAUUCGCUGAUCAUAGCUAGUUGUUGGAAAAAAAAAUGUGUGUACACCUGAAGGGUGAAUGCUGUGAAAUUUUCCCGAGUACCCAAAAUGGACUCGGAUGAAUGCACAAAUUGAUAAAAGAACAUAUUUUGGAAACAUUGGGUUGAUUUAAAAUAGAGGAAAUGAAUCCUGAGCCCUGGCAUCACAUGACCAUAAAAAUUUGACACUUGAGUGUCCGCAUAGGUGCAUGCAUGACCAGUUUUGCAUAAAAUUUCCAAAUCAUCAUUUUUGCAUUUGUGUCAUGGAAAUAAUGUGGGGCAUCCCUUUUAUCCUUGAGCCAAACCAAACCCUGACAUGUAUCAUGUCUAGCCAUUCUACAAGCCUUGAGCCAAAAUCCUGACUCACCAUAAACCUUGACCUAGGGUGAGAAUGUCAAUCCUUACCCUCGGAAGCAAAAAAAAGGAAAGAAGGAAAAUUUCCAAUCAAAGAGAAAGCAAAAAAAGGAAAGAAGGAAAAUUUCCAAUCAAAGAGAAAGCAAAAAAGAAAAGAAAGGAGAUUCCCAAUCAAAGAGUGGGAGAAAGCAAAAAGAAAAGAAAGAAAAUUCCCAAUCAAAGAAUGGGAGAAAGAAAAAAAAAAGAAAAGGAAGAAGAAGAAGGAAAGAAAGCUCCUGAUCAAGGAUUGAAAGAAAACAGAAGAAAUGUGCAGAAAGGUCUUUGGACCGGACAAUAUCUGAACCAUACAGAAUUGUCACCAAAUGAACAAAAAGAAGGAAAGGAAACCACGACCUAAAGUGGUCUUCUCCCUUUAAAUUGCCGACCAAAAUCUUGUGUGCUAGCGACUUCUUCGCCCCGCACUAAACAAAAACAGAAAAGUAAAAAGCCAAAAAAAAUCAAAAGCCGAAAAAAAAAACCCACCAAAAGAACCCAUUUCCAAGGGGAGCCCUAUUGAUCCAUGAUCACCCAUGUAAUCUUUGAUUUGAUAGGAAAUAAUUCGCAAAGUCAAGUCGUGACAUAUCUAUGGUUCGGAAUUAGGAUGAAACACUUACCUGUGCGAGAUUGAUACACUUUGAGUGGAUUUCUUCUAUUUUUGUCAAACCCAGUGUUUCCUCUAAAUGGUCAUUUAUAAACGAAAUGCUAACAUCCAAAAUCUCAUUUAUGGUUAUGGGGGGUUUCAUCAGCAGACUCUCCUUCCCCGGUAGACGCAUUGUUUUUCACUCAAAAAAGCAUAUGCUGCUCUAAUCAGUUGGAAUAUUUGUCUCUUUACUAAAGCAUGUUUGCAUUUUAGUGGAGAUCCGGUGGAGACUUUUUCAAGUCUCACAAGUUAUUCAGAACUACUUAGGUCUGAGUUCCUCAUUGGAGGAUACGUAGGAGCAGGAGCCUCACUUUUGUCGACCGCACCGCUUUUCGUUACCAUGACCCAAAAGCUGGUAGCCCGCGGAGACACCUUACGGUUAUCCGCACCUCGUCAUUCAGUGACCCCAAGUGUGAUUGACGAGCGGAGACCAAUGUGGUCAUCUGCGCCCUUUCCGGAGGUGUCAGCUUUUUCCGGUGGAGACUUUUUCAAGUCUCACAAGUUAUCUAGAACUACGUAGGUCUGAGUUCCUCAUUGAGGAUACGUAGGAGCAAGAGCCUUGCUUUUGUCGGCCGCCCCACAAUCUCUGUCACACUGACCCUGAGGUCAUGUGACAUGCGGAGACAAAUUAUAGUCAUUCCGCACACCUUUUUGCCAUUCAGGCACAGUUGUGUCCGAUGGCACGCAGAGACAAAUUAUGGUCAUUCUGCGCCCUUCGUCAAUCGCGGCCGACAAACCCGUUGACACGCGGAGAUUUACAUCAUCUUCCGCGCUCACAAGAUCUGUCAUACUGACUUUUGAGUCACGCUGACAGGCGGAAAUACCCGAGUGGUUAUCCGUAUAAACAUUCUUUUGCUAUCUGUAAGACAGAACGCUUGAUAGCAUGCAGAGACUGACAUCGUCUUCUGCACCUUUUGUUCCCCCGGGAACAACAAGUCAUUUGCAUGCGGAGAUUUUAUGGUCACCCGCGACUCUCGUCAACCGAGAGGAACGAAAUUAGUGUCUUAUCUUUACUUUCCUUUUAUCUCCAAUAAAAGACAAGUAAAGAGGGGCAACUGUCAUACCCUAAUUUCGUCCGGGGACCUUUGCUUGAUGACAUGCAACUUUUGUUUGGUCCUUGUGAGGUGCUUGGCACCCAUCAUUAGGAAAUUUAUGAAAUUCCGGGACAUGCCGGAAAACAAAAGAAAAUAUUGAUGCACAAUCCGUAAGGUUCCAUGACACACCGGAAAUCAAAUGGAAGCAUCGUUGCACAAUUAGUGAGGUUUCGUAACAUUCCGUAAGUAAAAAAGGGGAUGAUUAUGUAAUCCACAAGGUUCCGUAACAUUACGGAAAGAAAACAAGUAUCGUUACGAAAUUCGUGAGUUUCCGUAACUUUACGAAAAAAGAAUUACCAAAAAAAGGCAGGGGGUGUACUUAGUAAAAAUGGGGGUGCAAAUAGCAACCAGGCCCACUUGGGCCCUCCAGAAGAUUCCUCCAGAAGGCUGUUGCUUCUGGAGGAAGCAACCCUGCUCGCCUGGGCGAGCUGAGCUUGCCUGGGCGAGCUGGGUGGCAAGCUUAUCCCCCAAUUUUCUAUAAAUAGGGGGAGAAGUGAAGUGAAAAAGGGUUCACCACCUUAGGCACUUCUCUCUCUUUCGAAUUUGCUUGGAAAAAUUGUUUCCGUGAAGAAAAUCCAAGCCGAGGUGCUUCCGAAACGUUUCCGUAACGUUUCCAUGAGGAAUUUCGCGAAGGUUUCGACCGUUCUUCGACGUUCUUCAUUCGUUCUUCAUCGUUCUUCGAUCUUCAACGGGUAAGUACCUCGAACCUAGCUUUUCGAUUCAUUCUAUAUACCCGUGGUGGUCCACAUUGUGUUUCGUGUAUUUUUAUUCUCGUUUCAUUUACUUUUUAUACCCCCUUUUGACGUGCUUAAGCCAUUUUAUUUAAGUCAUUUCUCGCUUAACCUAAAAAUAAAAUAAAUUUCCACCGAUCGUUUGAAUUGUAUUAUCCGUUAACUUCGGUUAAAAUGAAUUUCGACCGUUCGGUUGUGCCGUAACCACGUUGGAAAUAAAAAAAGAGGUAAAAUAAUAAUAUAAUAAUCAAAAAACGUCUUUUAGUAAAAUAAAGCGGAAAAUCAAUCGGACGUUUUCUCUUUGGGAUUUCUCAUUCUUAAUUGAAUUGACUAAUAACUAAAGUGAAACUAAGGCUAAAAUCAACUCGCCUAGUCAAGCUCGUCCAUAAAAAAGGGUUUUUGAAGUUUAUCAUUUCAAUUUCUUACUAAGUAAAAUGGAUCAUUUUCAAGGUCCAACGCCUUAAAAUGAUCACCUUUUAAGUAAAAAAGAAUCACUUGAUAAGAAAGAACUGCGUAGGUCUGAUUUCCUCAUCGCAAUUGAGGAAUACGUAGGAGCAAAGGGAAACACCCUUGUCGACCACAAAAAGAGAAAAAAUAUAAAAAAGGUAUAAAGAAUAUAAAGACAUAAAAAGGGAACAUAAAAAUCAAGGUCAUGUUUGCACAUUCGAUUAAAGGCUGCCGUCCCUUGGGACGGACGUGUGGGGUGUUAAUACCUUCCCCGUGCGUAAAUACAACUCCCGAACCUUUCACUUAAAAGUUCGUAGAUCACGUCUUUUCCGGUUUUUCCGACGUUUUCCUCAAAUAAACGUUGGUGGCGACUCCGCGCGUAUUCCUUUCGUGGGACACGCAUCCCGCGAGUCACGCGUCGCCCUCCCGCCGAAGGUUAGGUUGCGACAACAACUAUCACCUUUUUCUACAUCCUCCAAAAGUCUAUCAGUUGAGUAGGCUCCACUUCAAUGAACUUUUCUGGAGCUUUAAGAGGUCAUCAAGGAGUAUCAUGAAUUCAAGUUGAAGCCUUCCAAGUGAGAGAAACUCAAGCUAAGUUCUCUGUGUGAGAAAUGUUCCAUUGUUGCUUUAACCCUCUCAAUAGAGAUUGACCCACUUCUGUAUAAACUUGUAAAUGGAUAUGGAUCUAAGAUAGAAGUGAUAUAUUCUAAUUUUCUAAGUGGAAACCCUCUUGUAAGAAAAAAUUUAUAUAUAUGCAACCAAACACACAAAGACCUUUUGUUGUUGAAAGUCCAACAAGUGGCUGGCAAAGGUUGUAACCAGUGGUGUAGCUGGUCUAGAUGUGGCUAGGUGUUAAGUCCAAUGUGGUUAUUGGUAAGUUGUUAAAAUCCAAUGGUUUGCUGGUGCAGUAGUGAAAUCUCAUCUUGAAGGGUGAGGAUUGGAUGUAUCCCAAGAUUGGGAUGAGUUGAUAUAAAAUCAUUGUGCAUCAUCUUCUUCCUCUCUCUCUCUCUCUCCCUCUCUUUCCUUGCAUUGAUUUUAAUAUGUACAUUGUUUAUUGGUUUUUGUUUAUCACUAAGGCAAAAAACUCCUUUGAUAAAUACUCUUAAAAUUGAACUUUUUUUUUUAUCAAAGUCUUUUCAACUAAACAUCUUUUAAAAUAAGCUCUAAGCUAUAAAAACCUUUUUUCCACAACUGCUUGGAUUUUUGUCCCGAGCUUGGCACUUUCUCUUGUCUCUCAUAUCCCCUCAACCAAAUACACUCACUUCACCAUUUCCCCCAUCUAUCGUUAUUGUGUGAUGCAAUUGGCACAUCCCACACAUUCACGGAACAAAUUUAUGACUUUGAGAUUUGGUGACUUUGGUGACUUUUCUUCAUUUUGAAUCAUUAGAUUAAUCUAGUGCUCCAAAAUUUUACACCUAUUUUUAAAGAUAUUUUUAAUUUAAUUAUUUAGUUUUUAUAUUUUUUAUUCUUUAAAAUAACACGAAAUAUUAUUGAACAUAUAGAUUAAUUGGUACCAAAUAUCAUUUCAUUUUAACCGGUAGUAGUUCUUAAACUACUAAAAAUUUGUUUUACAGUAAAGAAUUUCUAUUAGUUCAAUAUCUAUAAAAAAAAACUUUUAGACAAUUUUAGAGUGCCUAUUUUUUUCCAAAAUAAAUGACAAUAUGAACAAUACUUGAGACUGAAUACGUUAAAGUAAAAUAACUUAAUUUGUACCCAUUAAUCUACAAACUCAUUGAUAUUUUAUAAUUUUAAAAUAUAAAAAGUAAAUAAAUAAUUAAAUUAAAAUAUUUUUUAAAAGAAGUGAGAAAAUUUGGACCCAUUUGACUAAUCUAAUGGUCCAAAAUAAGAGAAAGUCACCACAUCCAAAAGUCAUGCAGUCCAUCCGUUUUCCUGUAUUCACACGUAUGUUCACGAUAAAGUAAUUAAGAAUAAAAUAUGUUUCUCGUUAUCAUAAAAUUAAAAUGUGUUAUUUUUUGGGCCUAGAGCAAGGUUCAUAUAUCUAAACCUAUAUGUAUUGCUAUUUUACAUUGGUUAUGCAUAUAACCAAUAUAAAAAAAUACAUUUAGAUAUGUUAUAUACAUAAUUAAUGCAAAAAAUUAUCAUUGUAGGAACCAAUGUAAAAAAACACUAAAUUUCAUAGGAACGAAUUCCAAAUAUUUCCAUAUUUAUGGGAAAGAAAAUCAUAUUUUACCCAAUAAAAAUUGCGAGUAACACACUCUCUCAUUUGUUGAAGGAGAAGGGGAAGAGGGAGUGAUUAAGCAUUGAUGAUUAAAAAAUUUGGAUACAUGUUAGGGAUAGGUGUUGAUGAGGUAACACUCCGUCUAUUAUACCAUCACUUCACAAAAUGAGACUAACACUAAGUAUUAAGGUCAAACAUAAAAAAUAAAAAAUUAUUGAAUACAUAAAUAAAAAAAUGAAUUUUAUAUAAUAAAAUAAAGAUAACCUAUUUUUUAGAUAUAAAGAAUAUAUUUAAAUCUUUGUAACUUUAAAUUUAUUAAUCAAUGAGUUUCUACUUGCCAUUUGCUUAAUUUUAAAAUUAAACAAACUUUAAGUUUCGCAAUUAAAACUCUGUACCAUCUUCCUUCUCACCCCUCGCCCUCUCACGUUUUUACACACGUAGACACAUACACAUUCAUAAUUCAUUGCUAUCACCACACAAGCCUAGCUCCUCAUAUCAUACCACUGAUUUAUCUUCCCUCUCCAUCGUUCGUUCAUUCAUUCACUCUGGGCGCGCGCACGUGCUAGGAACCAUCGAUUCGAGAAUGGGCAACGACUGUGUGCCGUCGACGGCGGCGGCGGAGGUCAUGGCGGUGGUGGCCGUUGAGCUCACUGACGCCUCCAGCUGGUGGCACGACAUCGACGACUCUCCGGCGUGGCAGGAUCGUAUCUUCUACACUCUCGCCGUACUCUACGGUAUCGUGGCCACCGUAGCUUUGGUAUCGUCGCGCACUCUUUUAAUUCCAAAUUAGGGUUUUAUUUUUGUUUAUUCGAUUUUAUUUAUAAAUUUUUUAUUUGAUUGAAUUUUAGGUUCAACUGGCUCGGAUACAAUUGAGAGUGCCGGAGUACGGUUGGACCACGCAGAAGGUCUUUCACUUUCUCAAUUUUUUGGUGAAUGGGGGUUUGUAUCGUUCAAACCUUUUGCUAUUUCACUUUUUAAAAUUAUUUAUUUUGUAAUUGCUUAUUAAUGUGACGUUUUGUUAAGAGAUUAUGCACUCUUUUUGGUUUUGCAGUUCGGUGUGUAGUUUUCAUCUUCUUUCGGAAUGUGCAGAGGUUGAAGCCAGAGGUAUUGGAGUAUAGGGAAUGUGGCAUUUAUUUUUGAGUUAUUUUUUGAACCUAAUAUUAAUAAUUUGUUAUUUUCUAAUUAGAAUGUGAUUAGACUCACUUAAUGCUCACUCUGCAUUUGCUUGUGUUUGUAGAUUGUUCAACACAUCUUGCUUGACGUGCCGAGUCUUGCUUUCUUUACAACAUAUGCACUUUUGGUCCUGUUCUGGGCUGAGAUUUAUUAUCAGGCAAGUUUGAUUUGUGGUGCAUUUGCUUCUACAUGGUUGGUUUGCCUCCUGUGAUUUUCUUCUUCCAGGUAGUGUGUUUUGCUGAUUGGUUUUGAUGGGCUGAUUACUGCCUCGGUGUUAAAUGCUUUUUCAGGCACGUGCUGUAUCAACUGAUGGGCUGAAACCAAGUUUCUAUACUAUUAAUAUUGUGGUUUACGUUGUUCAGGUGGAAAUUCUAUUGUUUACAAAGUUUGUAUAUAUGAAUGUGAUCAACUAUUGAAUGAUGUCUGACUUUGGUUGCGAUUCACUACAUGGUGGCUGGAAGGAAAAUUUUGUGUGAUAUCUAAUAAUAGGAUAUAGUAUUAUAGUUGAUUGCAACUAGGUUAUGGUUGUAGAGAUAUGAAGGAAAAGAGAAUAAUAUUUGUUUCUAAAUUCUAAGUGAGCAAUGUACAAGCAUUUAAUAAUAACGAGCUAGAUUCAAAAUUUUUCUAUUUUACCUUGAAACAUCAAACUGAAUUCUUUUGCUUCCUCUAUGCUGGCAUCCUAGAUUUGUUAACAUGCCUCCUUCCAUUGAUAAGUGACUCCCACUCUCAUAGCUUCCUCUGAUUCCUCUGUCUUCUCUAUGUAGAAGUGAGUCAAGCUAGGCCUAGCUGAAGCAUAGCCCAACUAGGCAGUUAGUUAUCUCUCUCCUAAUUCUGAUCAGGUGCAUCGUACCUCAUAGUCUGAUCAGUUGCAUUGCACCUUUUCUCUCUCCUUACAAAUACCUUAGUUAUUUUAUUAGGGGUUCUAUCAGUUUGAUGGCAAUUAACAUUUAAUAUUCAAUGUAUUUAUCUUGUGUCAUUAGUUCUUAUUUUAAUAUGCAUUGCAAGUUUUAGAUGGCUUUUACUUUCACGUUGACUAGUUUUGAGUUUGUUGAAUAUGACCCAUCUUGUUUUUUGUUUAAUGUAUAUCAGAUUACUUUAUGGUUAAUAUUGUGGUGGAAACCUAUCAGUGGACUGCUCAUUUUGUCUAAGAUAUUCUUUGCAGGUUUGUCUAUGCUGGAGAUUUGGUUUCUUAUUUUUAUUGAUUGUGACUUUUAUCAGUUUUUGCUAAUGCAUAUAAUGAUAUGUUGCAAUAGGGGUCUCUUUGUUUGCAGCCAUUGGCUUUCUUCUCUAUGGUGGAAGGUAAUUGUCUGUAAUCAUAUCCAACUCCCUUUGAUGUAAUUUGGCAUAAACUAUUGCAUUAAGUUACAAGAUGCCACCCAUUGAGUUGCGGAUUUUGGUUGUGUAGAGAAAAAUGGAGUAGAAUCUAGAAUAACAACUCCUUGAAUUAGCAGAAAUGAAAAUUAUUUGCCUUGGUUUUUGCUACUGGUUGAUCAGUGCUUCCUUUCUGGACUGAUGAAAUAAAAUGGUGCUAAAACAUGAACCGGGGGGGUGCAUACUUUGUAGAUUGGUAUCCAUCUGUAUUGAGAUCGGGGUCCAAUCUUGUAUUGAAGUUUCUGUUGUAAUCCUCAAUAGCUGCUAUAAUUUAACUUCAUAGGCUAUUGGUGUGGGUAGGACUCUUCAUCCCAUUUAAAUAGUUCGUUGUAUUGUUGGAUCUUUUAAGUCAAACUCAGAUGUAUAGACUGAUCUUUACCAUGUUUGAAAUCUUCUUUAGAAAUGAAUUAUUUUCAUUUCCAAGAUAGUUCCUUUGUGUCUUGAUUACUGCUUUCAAUAUUUGGGAUCUGGUCUUCUCUGAAAUUUCUUACACUAGUUGCAGAGUCCUGGUUUUGUGAGGUGGUAGGAUAUAUGAUUGUAACCAGGAUAUCCAUCAAGAAGCAUAAAAGGGAUAACAAUUGUAGCCUUUGAGAGUCUUAAUUGUGAAAUGGCAUAAUGUUUGUCAUAUGAUGUGUUAUUUUGGUUGACAUGGUGCUUAGAAUAUUAGGAUAAUAACUUCUAGUUGUGAAUUAUUUUUUCUAUCUGAUGUAGUCCCUGCUAAGCAGAUGUCUUAUCAAAGACAGUGUCUUAUCAACACUAUGAUAUACUACUGUGUUCUGAUUUUGCAGUGCAAUGUGUAAUAUCUUAUUAAAUGUGACUAUUCCCUUGAAACACUCAUGUCCAGAAAACCCAAAUUAACAACAACAACAACUAAGCAUUUUCUCCUCUAGGUGUGGUUUAUUCAUUAAAUGAUGCCAUUGUGGUCAAUCAAAAACCAAGUCUUUCGAAAGACUGUUUAGAUCUGUCCUUUUUAAUGGUUUCACCAAGAUUUUUACUUGUGUUACUCUAUCUAAUUAUUGGACCAUCCUCCAUCUGAUCAGAUUUGACUAUUUGGGCUUCCAAUGGUUUUCUCAUAUUGCUAAAAAACCAACUUAGUUGUGAUUCUUUGAUCUUUUCUACUUCCUUUCUACUACAUUCCUUCUUGAUCCUCUCUCUAUGAGCUUUCAACAAUCUCAUCUUUGCAAAACUUGGAUUAUGAUCUAGGUGGAACUUUACAGCCCAACAUUCAGUAUGAUAUAACAUUGGUGUUUUGUGGUUGUGUGGAAGAAUUUUUCUUCUAGCAUGAGAAGCACCUUUUGAUCAUAACAAUGCCUGAAGAAUUCUUCCAUUUUAUCCACCCAACUUGAAUCCUAUGAUAUAAUUCUUCUCUGUUUCUCCUUCACUUUGUAUGAUAGAUCCAAGAUACCUAAAUUAUGGCUUGUGUGAUAUCUUAUGAUCUUCAAUUUUACCCACCAAGCCAGUUUUAGUACAUAUAUUGUUAAACAUGGACGUUUCAUGGACCCAUUUUACUUUUGUUUAAAAAAUUCUAAAGUUUCUCUCCAUGACUCUAUUUUACCAUUUACUCUCUUGGCUGACUCUCAUACUAGUGCUAUAACAUCUGUGCAACAAACAUGUAUUCUGCAACCAAAGAGAAGGUAAAAAAUUAAUUGUCCUAGAGCUGAUUUAAUGGCAAUGACACACCUAUGAAAAUGCAUGCAUUCCUGACCAAUGAACUGAUGAAGUUCACUAAAGAAUUGUAUGUGCUUUACCACUAAAUAUUGGCCUCUUUACUUUUAUCAAAACCUUUAAAAUAAAAUGGCAGGAAUUAGUGGCAUUCUGGCUUAUCCAUAGCUCAUUGAACCCCAAAAGGAUUGUUCCAAGGGACAGUAGAUGCCUUGAGGCCAACAAAUUUGUAGCAAAACAUUUUUGUUGACAUCUUAUUAAGCACCACAGUUGAAAGUAAAUAUUUGGUGAGCUUUAGAUUGCCAAAUGGGUUUGUUGAUGAGGAAGAAUUGACUUUUGGGCAAAUGAGAAAGGAAUUUACAAGAAACCAUGCCGGAAGAGUCAAGAAUCCACUUUCCUUUCAGACUUAUCAAAUGUACUAAGCAGAAUCAAGUUAGAAACAAUUUUUGUUUUUUUUUUUUUGGGCCUUCAAAUUUUUUAUUCCUAACCCCAAUGAAAGAACUCAGAAUAUAUUUUCAGUUGUAUGUGAAGAUAGAGAAACAAAUAUUAUCUGAAAUUGAAAAUGUGGCAACCAAUGUGGACAAAUUUUAUCCAAACUAGAAAUUUAUUGAAACUGAAACUGGGACUGGUAAAUCUUUCAAAAAUAAACACCAAACCAGCUUAACAGGUCAAAGGAUGUUUUUUUUAUUGUCUUUAGUUAGUCAUGAUCUUAUUCAUUACCCUGAUUUGGAUACUGCUGUGAGUGGCUUCAAAGAUUUUUAAAAUUGCGAACUAUAUUUGGUUUUAGAUGUGAUAGCAGUAAAGUUAUCAUAUAUCAUAAUUUUACUUGGGAGCUAUGUUGAUGCAUCACAAGCCUACAGAGGGAUUUUGGGUUGUCAUGGAAUUUCUGUACUGAAUGGUAAUAGAUUAUUACAGUUACCUUUACAAACUACUUAGUGAGCAUACCUGAUUUUAUAUUUUUAAGCUUGUGCCUUUCUAUGUCAAUUUUCUUCUCUGUUUACUAGUGUAACGUAUCCUUUUUUCUUUUCUGUCUUGUUCCCAAAUGAAAUUUCCUCUUUUAUAAAAUUAGAGAAUUUUAAGGCAGAUAGAUACUUUCAACUUGAAUUUUUAAAUUGAAAAUUGAAUUUUGUCAAUGUACUUAUGCUUUGUGUACUCAUCUGUAUUACCUUCUGACUUUUCUGAUUCC
rnacentral:lncRNA from 1 species